rnacentral:misc_RNA from 1 species
UUUUCCUGUACAGCCAACAUGGCGGUUAGUGUCUUGUGUUUAUACAUGCCGUCAAAAAUCGGCAAACAUCGAUGCAUUGCUGCAUUUUCCUAUUAGUCGUUGGGUUCUAACGUAUCCCCUGUUAUGUUGUGAUAAUACUUAUUGCAAGUUAUUUCCAUUCAUAUUGAAAUAAAAGAGAAAACGGGGGUAUUUUGACCCCUCGACUUGGUAGAAAUAAAGAUACCAUGAAAUAGGUGUCUGAAUUGGAACCACAAUACUUUGAUUUUGUUGAAGAUUAACGUAUUUCAUGAACACUUUUACACAUAACAUUUCUUAAUUAAACAACCACGGUCGGUGUAAGAAUCUGAUAGCAGUAAUCGACCAUAAAUUGAUGUUACAUAUGAAGACGUGCUAUUUUAAUGUUUGACAGUUGUGUAUAUUCGUAUGUGAAAGUCCAUGAUUUUUGUUGUUGUUCAUUUAAAUGAAUAUUAUUGACAAGUACUGCUACUGAAUUUUAGGACAAAGACAAGAACAAGAAGAAAGAGAAGAAACAGAAUGUUAUGCGAGAGCUGAGGAUCCAAAAGCUCUGCCUCAACAUUUGUGUGGGAGAGUCUGGUGACAGACUGACACGAGCAUCAAAAGUGCUGGAACAGCUGACUGGCCAGCAGCCUGUCUUCUCUAAAGGUAUCUUAUUGAAACUACAGUCUAGCAAAUUAUUUUGUAACCAUUCAUGAUUGCCUGCUUCUUUAUGCAUGGAAGCGUGGAAGUGAAAAAAAAAUAGCUUGUUGGCUGCAAUGUUAGAUAUUUAAUGCAAAUACAAUGUAGCAAAUGUUGUUUUCUUGCACUACAUUCAAUACCUUUAAAGAUCUAAAAUUAACUUGGAAACGAAAUACUGCUUAAUUGAUCCUUUGUCCUAACUAUCCCAACCCAUCCAUUGUUCUUGAUUCCUCAACUUGUGCUCUAUUCUGUUUUUUGUAUGUACACAUUUCUAAAGUUUUAUAUCUUAAGUUCUUUUCAUUUAGCUCGCUACACUGUCAGGUCCUUUGGCAUCAGAAGAAAUGAAAAGAUUGCUGUACAUUGCACCGUGAGAGGAGCCAAAGCAGAGGAAAUUCUGGAGAGAGGACUCAAAGUGAGUAAUUGACAUGUGAAACCAAACAAUUGCUAUUCCAUUCAUUCAGCUGUAGAUUUGUGAGAAAAUACUAUCCUGAUAAAGCUGCAUUUCUGCAGUUGUCAAUGAAAACUUGCAAUCUUGGGCCACAAUUAAUAUUUAGAUUCUCAUCCCCAACAGCCCUGGAUGGUGCUGAUGAAUUUAAUUUUGAAAAAAAAAAUUGUGUGGGGACAAAAUUCUAGAGGAAAAAUUGUGCUGGGAUUGCAUAAAAGUCAGAAAUUUAAUGACUGCUUGAGGUGGAUAAUUGUUUGAUUUCAAUCAAGUUUGUCUACAUGUUUUAGCUGUUAAGUUGAAACAAAAUGGAAUUCAAAGAUUACUAGUUGGUUUGUGUACUCAUAUUAACAUUAACUAAUAAACUAAAAUUGUUGAUAUGUCAAGAACAUGAGCGGUGAAUUAGAAAUGUUUUAAAAAGUGAAAAAUAAAAUCAACCUGACGGCCCCAUAUUUUUUGCCACUGAGGAUGAAAAUCUAAAUAUUUAUUUUAUGUGACCAUACGUGCAAGUAUUUUUUCACGUACCAACUUGUAGCAAAUAGGUAUGAGAGUAACAGUGUCCACUUGUUUUCAAUAGAUCAACAGUCCUGCAGCUUACUUGAUAUAAUUAAUAGUAGGCAGCUUGCUUGAAAUCUUUUUUAAGAGUCUUAUUCUAACAACGAAACGUGUUAAGAUCCUUGCUAAUUAUUUUUGUAGUCUAAAAAUGAGAUCAAACAGCAUGAAGUAGCUUUCUCUGUUUUAAGAGGCAUAACUAAAGAAUCAAAUUUGGUAAAUUUUAUGAAGUAUAAGAUAUUAGUCUCUCCUGAUAGAAUGAAAAUUCUAAUCUCUGGUCAUUUGCUCAACUCAUUAUUAUCUUAAUGGGCAUUACUGGUAAUGUUGAUACUAUAAGAAGUUGAGUGUUGGGUAUUUGGGCUAACAGGACUAGAGUGUUGGUUAAGUGUUUUAUUUAGAAAAUUUUAUUCAAUUUAUUACACACAAUACAUAAAC